rnacentral:rRNA from 1 species
AUGGUACCUUUAUCUGACGAGGAAAUCUGGAAGGUGAUUAGCUCGGCUAAUCUGAACGCUGCCUCUGGGCCAAAUGGUUUUUUGCUUCCCUUUUUUAAGAAAUUCUGGCCGCAGUUGCAGGCGCUCGUCUGUAAGAUCAUCCAAGGUUUCUGGUUGGGAACGGUGGAUAUUUCUCGUCUUAAUUAUGCUGUCAUUUCUCUCAUUCCUAAAGUCAAAGGAGCUGUCUUGAUCUCGCAGUUCCGGCCUAUUGCUCUCAUCAAUAAUUUCGCCAAAUUUCCUGCCAAAGGGUUCGCUACGCGCCUUUCCCCCAUUGUUCACUGUACCAUCAACCCUUUUCAAUUGGCCUUUAUUAAAGGUCAUUUCAUUUUGGAUGGGAUUCUUUGCUUACAUGAAAUUGUGCAUGACCUCAAGAUUCGUAAGUCUAAAGCCCUGAUUCUUAGGCUUGAUUUUGAGAAGGCUUACGACUCGGUGAGCUGGCCUUUUUUGCGAAGGGUUCUGUUGGCUAAAGGGUUUGAGGGGCACUUUGUUCAUAGAAUCAUGUAG